CCUACGGGAGGCACCAGUGGGGAAUAUUGCUCAAUGGGCGCAAGCCUGAUGCAGCCAUGCCGCGUGUAUGAAGAAGGCCUUCGGGUUGUAAAGUACUUUCAGCGGGGAGGAAGGUGUUGUGGUUAAUAACCGCAGCAAUUGACGUUACCCGCAGAAGAAGCACCGGCUAACUCCGUGCCAGCAGCCGCGGUAAUACGGAGGGUGCAAGCGUUAAUCGGAAUUACUGGGCGUAAAGCGCACGCAGGCGGUCUGUCAAGUCGGAUGUGAAAUCCCCGGGCUCAACCUGGGAACUGCAUUCAAAACUGGCAGGCUAGAGUCUUGUAGAGGGGGGUAGAAUUCCAGGUGUAGCGGUGAAAUGCUUAGAGAUCCGGAGGAAUACCGGUGGCGAAGGCGCCCCCCUGGACAAAGACUGACGCUCAGGUGCGAAAGCGUGGGGAGCAAACAGGAUUAGAUACCCUUGUAGUC
rnacentral:rRNA from 1 species